rnacentral:rRNA from 1 species
AACAAACGCUGGCGGCGUGUCUUAAGCAUGCAAGUGGGCGGCAAGGAGGAGAGAUCCUCCCUAGAGCGGCGGACUGGUGAGUAACGCGUGGGUAAUCUAUCGUAGGCAGUGGGGAUAGUCACUAGAAAUAGUGGGUAAUACCGAAUACGUUCCAUGAGGGGAGUAUUCAUGGAAGAAAGGGUGCUACGGCACUGGCCUUAGGUGAGCUCGCGUCCCAUUAGCUAGUUGGUGAGGUAAAGGCCCACCAAGGCGAUGAUGGGUAGCCGGCCUGAGAGGGUGUACGGCCACACUGGGACUGAGAUACGGCCCAGACUCCUACGGGAGGCAGCAGCUAAGAAUAUUCCGCAAUGGACGAAAGUCUGACGGAGCGACGCCGCGUGGAUGAAGAAGGCCGAAAGGUUGUAAAGUUCUUUUGCUAGGGGAGAAUAAGUGAGGGAGGGAAUGCCCUCAUGAUGACAAGGACUAGCGAAUAAGCCCCGGCCAACUACGUG